GUGCUCCCUUCAGCAGCACAUAUACUAAAAUUGGAACGAUACAGAGAAGAUUAGCAUGGCUCCUGAGCAAGAAUGACACACAAAUUUGUGAAGCAUUCCAUAUUUUU
ensembl:snRNA U6 U6 spliceosomal RNA